rnacentral:rRNA from 1 species
UACGUAGGGUGCUAGCGUUGUCCGGAUUUAUUGGGCGUAAAGAGCUCGUAGGCGGUCUGUCGCGUCGGCUGUGAAAUCCCGGAGCUCAACUCCGGGUCUGCAGUCGAUACGGGCAGACUGGAGUUCGGUAGGGGAGAUCGGAAUUCCUGGUGUAGCGGUGAAAUGCGCAGAUAUCAGGAGGAACACCGGUGGCGAAGGCGGAUCUCUGGGCCGAUACUGACGCUGAGGAGCGAAAGCGUGGGGAGCGAACAGG